AGCCCCAUAUGGGGCUCGGUCUCACAGACAGUGAGAUCAUGACCUGAGUCAAAAUCAAGAGUCAGAUGCCUAACCUACUGAGCCACACAGACAACCCACUGUGAGUGAUUUUUUAAUAGUAUCAGUUAUGACUUCGUGCCCAGCAUGGUACUUGUUGUCAAAAACAUACAAUGAAUGAGACGUGAUUCUUGCUGUAACUAGCUCACAGCUUAUUUGGGGGAACACUCAUACUAUCUACUGAAACCAGGGAAGAUUUCAGCCAAGAGCUUAUGAUUAAGUGUUGAAUGAUACCUUGCAUAUCACCAAGUAUGAAAGCAGAAGAGUAAGACAUUCUAGGUAGAGGGAACAGCAUGGGGAAGGUUACUGAGCUAAGAAAAAACACAGUAUGAUACCAGAAUCAUGAGAAAUUUGCUGAGAAUUAGCUUGAGCCCACAGUUUAGAAAGAUUGUGUAUCUUGGACAGCCUGGCUGUCCCAAUCGGUAGAGCACGUGACCCUUGAUCUUAGGGUUGUGAGUUUGAGCUCCACAUUGGGUAUAGAGAUUACUUAAAAAUAAAAUCUUAAAAAAAAAAAAAGAUCAUCUAUGAUAUGCCAUAUCCAGAACUUUCAUGGUAGUGCUUACAUGUUAGCCAUAAUUCCUGGUGGCAAUUAAAACUAUGACAAAAGAGAGUAUGUUCGUUGACAUACUAGAAAGUCUUGGCAUUAGUUGUGGCUUCAGGCAGGGCAGGAUCUGUGGCUCAAAUAUAUAACCAGAUUAUUAGUCUCUUUCUAUCCUCUGGCUAUGGUGGUCUCUUUGCGACUCAGUUCUGCAUUCUUGUAGCUGGUGGGAGAAAUGGCUGCCUGAGGGACCAGAACCUUGUUCUCAUGCAAUAUUAGUAAUGAAAGAAAGGGACCUUGCUCUCAGAAUAUAUGCAUCCCAGGGAAGAUUCUAGUCCAGUUUAGAUCAUGUGCUUUGUCUCUGAACCAAUCACUGUGGUCAAGAGACAGGUCAUUUAAUUAGCUGACCAAGGUGAUGUGUGGAAAGGGAAUAGAACGCUCUGACCCACAGAAUCAAACAGAGUAAAGUAUGCUUCCUAGAAGAAUAGAAGGAAAAGGAAGGACCAAUGUGCCGAAUAGGAAGAACUAUAGUUGGGUUAGCCCUUAUAUCCCCUAGGAUGUUUUUCUAUUUUCAAGUUCGGGCAUUAAGCUACAUGUUUGGUGUCUUAUUCUUGUGAUAUUGUGUUUCAAACCUUAGCUGAGGAUUUUACACACUCCAUGCGUGUUCAACUCCAAUCCGGUCGCUUAUUAACAAAAGAGAAUGAAUGCCUUUUUCCUCUUUUAACAACCCCAGUUUCCUCAUCAGUGAAAUCAGGGUAAUAGUGGGGACAUGGUGAAGGUCCAUCAGGAAAGCCAAGCACGCCCUCAAAGCGCAUUACGGUUCUUCCCGGGCCAGGCUGAGUUUAUCCACCUGCUGUUGACAUAGGAGCUUCUCCCUCUCCCUGUCCCUUCGGCAGACUGAUCAGACGGAAGGUCGCCCCUUACACCCAGCGGCCCCAGACCUCUCAGGAGAGGGCAGGUUGCUGCCCGCGUGCCAGUGAGGAGCCAGCUUGGGGCAGGUGGUAGAACCACAUCGUUUCCAGAUGAAACAGGGCUCCCUGGACAUCAGCUGCCAUGCUUGAAGGGGCGUGCAGACAAAGAGCCAAAUUUAAAUUCAUGUAAUGUUGCUGUUUGUAACAUUGAAUACUUAAGACAUCUGCUCAAAGUCUCGCAUUAGAAAUGAAUGGAAAGGAUCCAGGAGUGCUUUAUUAGAUGGGAGCCGUUAAGUGAGCGCCACAUAUUUCAAAGCAGGAUCUUAAUCAGACAUUAUUUAUAUCUGUAAUAUUUUAGAAAUUAAAAGCAGUAGAAAUAGUCACCGGAAGGAUGUCAGCAGGCAGGGGUGAAAAAAAAAAAAAAAAAAAAAAAGAACCUGAAGCCUAGAAGAGAGAGGCUGAUCAUCUCUGGGGGCGGGGGUGGGGGAGGGUGAAAAAGUAGCAAAUUUACCGUCAUUGGCAGGUGUCUAAAUGUUCCAUUUAAAUUAAAUGGCACAUGUCACAAGGCAGCAUGGGCAUUGCGCAUCCCGCCCUGCGCUUCUGUUUCGGCCAGAGAGCCUAUUUUUCUUCCCCUCUCAGCUCAGCCACCGUCUCCUCCCUGACACUGGGUCACCCAGGGCUUCUACUUUAUUAUUUCCUUUUACUUUAGUUCAUUAUGCUCUGUGAUUCAGUGGAAACAUAAAAAAUGGUUCUUAAUUUUAAUUAAUGGCAAACUUAGCACAGGCCCAUUUAAUAAAUCUGUUCUCUGAACUUCACAAGUCUCUUCCCCGGCAAGGGCCUCCUGUCAUUUUAUUAGUGCCAGAACCUCCCAACCGAACGGCUGAGUAAUUGACAAAAACUGCAGGUAAGGCAGGAGACACGUAAUUGAUUCGUAAGAUGCCUUCCGCAGAACGCGCUGAAGAGUUAAUUAUUUUUCCUGCAGUUGGGACUCAGCUGUUGUUUCCACUGGGAUUAAACAGCUGUCAGCAUUGUUAAUGACAUCAAAUUCAUGCAUUAAAAUCCUCAUUCCCUUGCCAUAUAAAGUGGGGUUGCAGAAAUCUCUGCCACAUCCCCCUUUAUGAAGGAGUGAAAAUUCAAGGAAAGAUAACGGCCCUUAUUACAAAACCACAGACCGGAGCUUGUGUUGAUGAAAUCUCGUAAUGAGUAAUUAAGCCGCUUUGCAAAAGUCGGGCUGUCAUGUUGGCAUUUGGGUACUUAGGUUCCUUGGUGGAAACAGCUGGAUAGACUGGGAAGGUGAUAAAGGAAGAAAAAUAGAAUUUUUCUCGAAUGAUCUCCCCCCCCCUUUUUUUUUAAACAACGCAAAACAGUUACUAAAUAAUUAACUGAAAAUGAACUUUUGUAUCUUUUUAAAGUGUCUGCUGAUUUCUUCAAACAUCUGUAACAGUAUGUCUGAUGAAUCGAAAGGCUUGUGUCUCCUUUUGGGGGGGGGUAUUUUUCUUUCUGUCUCAAUCUCCCACGUUGUAUGAGAACAAACUUUAGGGUUUUGUUUCUGUUUGCCUUGUCUUGCUUUGCUUAGUUUUGUUUUUUGAAGCAUUGUCUUAGCACAUGAAAGUUCACACCUUGAGUUUGACUGGGCAAUCUGUCCCCGAGGAAAAAGUAAAUGAAGGUAUGUCUGCGUGUCUUGCGACACAAAUCCCUAUGCAAGGACAGAGUCAGGGGUGAGAAGGCAGGAACAGCACCAGGGUUUAGAGCUGAGGGCCCCCACUUCCACUGGUAGACAGAAAUGGGUAUUUUUCUGUCUCCAACUGAGGAAAAAUAUACAUGUGUAGAUUUUCAUGUUUCCCUUCAGUGUAUCUGUUUCAUGAAACAAGAUCAACCCUCGGAUUAUUUCAGGAUGACUGUUCUUUUUCCCUGGCAAGGCAAAACUCACCCAAACGGCGAUUUCAAACGUUUAAAAUUAUGUUCUAAAAAUCUUUCCCCUUUCCCAAAACAUCUGGCAGUCCGAAAGUGAGCUCUCCCCCACUUUGGCACCUGAGGGUAGGGCGCAAUGUCACAAACCGAACAGUGAUUAGCAGGGCCCCUCAACUUCCUUACUACCGGGAUGCCGAGAGAAGGGCAAGAGGGAAGACAAAAUCAUCAGAAUCAUCAAAUUCUUUUGGAUUCCUGUUAGAGCAAAACCAUCGCAAAGGAACUCCUAGAAACGCAGAGGCAAAGCAGUUAAAUAACUAACUACCUCCCCGCCCAGAUAAUAAAAUGGGAGCAUUUUAUGUGUCACAUCCAUACCCAUCUUAAUUGAACGGCACGCGAGUUCUCUCCAACCCCUGCCUUGUACUGCACGAGCUUUCCGGAGUCUUAGCAAAGGAGGAAUCACUCAGACUUAGGUGUUCAGUGAAUGAGGCUUCCUUCUCCCCACCUGGUUCCCAGUGCGAGCUGAUAAAUCCAUCUUGGUUCUGAUUAUCAACCAAACAAGCCAUAGGUUAUUUUUUAUUUUUUUAUUUUUUAGCAGUAUCAUGUCAUGAUGCACCAGGAAUCAUCUCAGUUUGGUUUUUGAUUAAGCCAAAGCCUGAUACUCCUGACUCAGAGACAGCAUCACCCGAUGGAAAUCGCUCGGCCUAUAUGGCCAAGGCCAUUUGCAGUUACAGCGUGGCCAAACCCCGAGGCCCACGCUCGCUCUCUGGUGUCGGGUCCCCCAGCUCACCGCCUUUUGGAGUGGGACGUUGAGGGCGUAACCUCCCAAAGCCUGCAACCCAGGCCGGGAAGCAGAGACAAUUUAUUACCCUGGCUUCCCGUCCGCGAGAGGCCUGGGGAGGCCUUGAAAUUCGCAGCUGCAAGUCAAAUUCCACUAGCGCAGUCACGAAAUUUAAUGAGGCCUCUCCGGACUCAAAGAGAGAUGGACGUUUCCAGGCUCGCUGUCUCCUCUCCGCACCCCCCCUCCACCCCCAUCCCCAUGAGACCUUCCUGCAAAGGCCUCCAACACUGGCCUGGCUGGGUCUCAGGCACUUGACCUCCUGACUUUUUAGCUGCCAGCUUGGGAACCUUUGAGAACCCUUCUCUCUGGAGAUGUCGCUUCCUUUCAAUGGCGCCUUUGGCCAGUUGCCCGCUCCGGGGUUCUGUAACCUCAAGGGAUGUUAUCUCCCUCAAAUACAAAUUUGAAGAUUUUGUCUUCCUUUCUUCCUGGUGCAUCCUUGGAUGUCCUGCACAGUGACUGACACAGAGAAGUCACUGAUCAUUGUGUGGUUUUUUUUGAUGAAUGAAUGAAUGACUAAGGGCUUUUUUCCUUGCAAAGCUCCUUGCACGCUUUAAUCUAGCCAUCAUCUUGUGAAGCACACCUACUUCUUUCUGAUCUGCAUUUUUAGGUAGUUUUGAAAUGAGAACCAAUGAGGCUGCUUUUGUUCUGGUACGUCCUGUCCUCACGCACUCCCAGCACCCAGAGCGGUGCGGUCAGAGUCUCAGAUCCGGAGCACGUGAUGUGCGUGGGCCUGUGAUUAAUAGAGCCUCGUGGCACGCAAGCCACGCAGCCUGGGAGGCCAACCGAGCAAGUCAUUUCUAAAGAAGGGACCCACAGGGUGGAGAAUGGGCUGUGCCAUGCAGUGGAAAGAGACAGAACAUGCAUACUUGGCCACUGGAGGGCCAUUUUGGUCCCGAGGAGCAAGUGAGGUCAAGGAUCUACGUCGGGAAUCCUCAGCUUGUGAGCGUCAGGGCCUCGGCCCCUCCAGGCGUUAACAUCCGCACCAGUCAGAGGGCUCCUGGUUUAGCGUGACACCGACGUAAACGAACACAAAGAGAACAUACCUGCGGUGUCCUGGGGGAGAGGUAGGGGGUGCUCGACGGCUAGUUCUUUUCUCUUCCUGUAACCUGCACGUGCACUCCCCCCCCCCCCUUCUACCCUGCGCCCUGUUCUUUUUCUGAGGCCCACCGACAUAGAAGUGCCUGGCUGGGGUUCCACACCUCUCUUCUUUCUGCUGGUUGUGUUUUCUCGAAUGUGGCACCCAAGCCCUUCGGGGCACUUUCCCCUGGUCUGGGAGAGUCCGGUGUUCACGGGGGCUCACGUAUGUGUCAACCCAGCAGCUCUUGUGCUGCCUUUGGGCAAUUGUGUAAGAGCUGUUGAUCCUUCUCUUGCCCCCGUAAGUGAGCGAGUGGUAUUUUAGGUACCCUGUACAUCUUGGAAUCAAGAGGUUGUUUUGAAUUGCUCCUUUUGGUGAGAUGCAGGCAAGUGGGCCAGGACUCCAGAGCUCUGGAAGGAGGAGGGAGGAGCUUGGCGUUUGUCAGAAACGUGCAGCCCUGGAAUGCAGAUGGCCUCCCUUGGGGACCUGGGCUCCUUGUAGGAUCCUCAGAGGGCCUGGAAUCCUCCAGAUCAUAUUCAUGUGCCUAAUCAGUUCUGACCACAAAAGCUCUUGGAGUGGUCCUGUGUCUGCCCUGGCCCCCUAGAUACAUCAAAUACCAGGAGCCUUAAGGACCUUAGCUAAAUGAGCCUGCCCCCCACGUCCCCCAUUUUAUUUUUCCAUCCUUGAACCCCACUCAGACCUCCUUUCUGCAUUUGGGGCAAUUUCUUCAUCCCUGUUUCUUGGAGGGGCUUAAUAUACAAAUUUUACAUGAACAAAGGUGGUAGGAGUGAGGGGACAGAAGGACCUUGAUGAAGGCAGAGCCCAAGGGAGAGCUCAGAGGGAGGGUAAGCCCAGCAGAGGGCGAGGGCGGAUGCGUGGGCUGCCAUGACCUGCCCGACCACCUUGGGGGCUCCGUUGCAGGCACACGCUCCCAUCUUACCCUCGCAGCUCCCCUCUGGGAAGCAGCAGGCACACUACCAGUGUAAGCGAGGAAACGUGAGGCGCGUUUGUGUUCCUAUAUAUAUUUUUUAAUUGAGGUGAAAUUCACAUACCGUUCAAACGAACCAUUUGCAAGCAAACAAUCUGUGGCAGUUAGUACAUCCACCAUUUUAGGCAGCUGCCACUGCCUAUCUAUAGGGAGUUCCAAAAUAACUCCUCACCCUGCAAUAACCUGUGUACCCAUUCUUGCUUCCUCUCGGCCCCUGGGAGCCUGCAGUCUGCUCUCUGUCUCUAUGGACUUGCCUUUUCUGGACAUUUCAUAUCAAUGGAAGUCUACAACAGGUGACUUUUCAGAUCUGUCUUCUUGUACCUAGCCUAGCGUCUUGCAGGUUCAUCCACGGUGUGGCAUGCAUCGAAACUCCAUUCCUUUUUGUGGCUGAAUACUAUUCCGUGGUUUGUUGGUACCACAUUUUGACCAUCCAUUGAUCCACUGAUGGACAUCCGUGUUGUUUCCACCUUUUGGCUGUUGUGAAUGAUGCUGCUAUAAACACGCACGUGCAAGUGUUUGUUCCCAUCCUGUGUUCAGUCGUUCGGAGGACAGACUUAGGAGUGGCAGCUACCCAGUGCUGGAUCCUUGGGCCAUCCCAUCCUUCACUUUUCGAUGAAUUAUCACACUGUUUUCCACAGCAGCCGAACCGUUUGCACAUUCCCGCCAGCAACAUUCAGAGGGUUUAGUUUGUCCACGGCCUCUCCAAUGCUUGUGUUUCAGACGUCUCUGAGACAAGGAAUGGUGCCCAUUUCUCAGGACAUGUGCAGGCAUGCGUGGAAUAGGAGAUGUUGAAGAACCUGGGAGGUCCCUGGUGGCCCACACCUUCUGUCUCUCUUUCUUUCUUCCCUCUGGAAGCAGCACUCAGUGUCUUCCCAGGUCGGCUGUAUUGGUGAUGUUUGCCUUCGUCCAAAAGAUGCGAUUGAUAAUUGGAGGUAGAGUCGGGGGUUAGUCAACGUGUGGGCGCCCCGUCCCCGACUCCCACCCCAAAUCCGUGCCAAACUAUAAUUGUUCUUCGCCUUUCCAAACAUCUGGGUGAUCAAUUUUCAUUUUGAAGUAGGUCAUCUGAGCUCCAUUUUGCAAAUGGAGAAACUGAGGCAGAGUUUGCCAAACAUGGCUCAUUUCCCUUGGCAUUGCCAUCUUUUGAAUUUUACGUAAACGCUUUCGCUGCUAAGUUUGUGCCAACAGCAUCACUGGAAUUGUUUUUAGUUCUCUUGGCUCUCACCAAGUCUACACAACGCCACUUGAAUUGGCAACGUCAGAGUCGAACCUCAAUUUUCGCAAUUAAUCGCGCCGCAGUUAAUUAAAUUGAUUGCCUGGCAGUCCAGCCUCAUUUAAAAUACUAAUAGUUUAUUUAUUUAUUUCGCUGUUUACAAAGCAUUCUUAGCUGCCACCGUCUUGCAGGAUUCCGUUUGGGUGUCCUGACGAUGGGAAUGAUAAUAACGUCCGUGUCUGAUUAUUCUGUAGUUAAGAGUUCUAGGAACUGGAUGUGGCAUUUCAAACGAGGGUUACAAUUUUGACUUUGAAAGUGGGACCAGAUUUCCUUACUCACCUCAGUUCUCCCAAGGAGACAGAAGUCCCAGUUUAGCCACUAAACUUGCCGCCUUUUAAGUAAGUAUUUUGCAGAAGAGCAUUUAUUCUCAGUAUCUGAGAAAGAGGAGAAGGGGAGUACCAGGUUAAAGAGUGCAGUUGUGUGAUUCCGCAGGAUUGAACUCCCUGGACGAUAUGGAGGGGCGUCGCUUUCCAUUUUAUUUGCUUUCAGAAACGUGAAAAUAGAGUCCUAUCGGGUCCUGGCAGAAGCCCUGCCUUUUGGUUCUUGACGUGUGUGUAGAUCUGUGCUAAGAGGCUCUUUGCUCCUCCGUCAUGAGGUAUUUUUGUAUGUAAUGCAACAGUACUUUCCAGGUUCCUUGAAGCCUCAUGAAGCUCUUUCUGCAGAUUUGUGUGUGUUGGCGUGAAGCCUGUGUCCUAAGAGGGAGGGUCCUGUGCGGCUAGACUUUCCUGAAAUCUGCAUGUGGUCUACACGACAUCGCUGGGGGCCUCAGCCAUCUGACAUGGCUUCACCCACACCUCCCAGCACCGCUCUCUUGUUCCCUCAUUAGGAUUUCCCUGUGCUUGCAUAAUGCCUCAGCCAUUUCAUGAUCUCUGUGUGAAUAUUCAAAAAUGCCCAAAGACG